GGGAAGAUGAGAGUGGAGGAUGGGAGGAAUUAGUAACAAAAGUGAAAAAAAAAUUAAAAACUGAAAUCUAUUUGAAAUUGUUUUCACUUUUGUUACUCCUCCUUCCCAUCCUCUCCCCUCUUAUCAUUUC
rnacentral:miRNA from 1 species